rnacentral:rRNA from 1 species
AGCAGUAGCCGCGGGAAUACGGAGGAUGCAAGCGUUAUCCGGAAUCAUUGGGCGUAAAGGGUCCUGAGGUGGUUUGCCCAGUCUACUGUGAAAGAUCAGGGCUCAACCCUGAAAAUGCGGUGGAAACUAGCAGGCUAGAAUACGGUAGGGGCAGGGGGAAUUCCCGGUGUAGCGGUGAAAUGCAUAGAUAUCGGGAAGAACACCAAUGGCGAAAGCACCCUGCUGGGCCGAUAUUGACACUGACAGACGAAAGCUAGGGGAGCAAAUGGGAUUAGAUACCCCCGUAGUCCCUGUCUCUUAUAC